GGGGGGGGGGGGGGGGGGGGGGGGGGCGGGCGGGGGGGGGGGAGGGGCCCCGGGGGGGGGGCGCGGGGGGCGGACGGGGGGGGAACACGUGAGUGACCUGCCCUUGACUUCGGGAUAACGUCAGGCAACUGGGGCUAAUACCGGAUAGGAAUCCUGGCUGCAUGGGGGGGGGUGGAAAGCUUCGGCGGUUUUGGAUGGACUCGCGGCUUAUCAGCUUGUUGGUGGGGUAGUGGCUUACCAAGGCUUUGACGGGUAGCCGGCCUGAGAGGGCGACCGGCCACAUUGGGACUGAGAUACGGCCCAGACUCCUACGGGAGGCAGCAGUGGGGAAUAUUGCACAAUGGGCGGAAGCCUGAUGCAGCAACGCCGCGUGCGGGAUGACGGCCUUCGGGUUGUAAACCGCUUUCAGCAGGGGCGAAGCUUGUGGUGACGGUACCUGCAGAAGAAGCACCGGCUAACUACGUG
rnacentral:rRNA from 1 species